GUAGGUGGCAAGCGUUGUCCGGAGUUAUUGGGCGUAAGGCGCGCGCAGGCGGUUCUUUAAGUCUGAUGUGAAAGCCCACGGCUCAACCGUGGAGGGUCAUUGGAAACUGGAGAACUUGAGUACAGAAGAGGAAAGCGGAAUUCCACGUGUAGCGGUGAAAUGCGUAGAGAUGUGGAGGAACACCAGUGGCGAAGGCGGCUUUCUGGUCUGUAACUGACGCUGAGGCGCGAAAGCGUGGGGAGCAAACAGGAUUAGAUACCCUGGUAGUCCACGCCGUAAACGAUGAGUGCUAAGUGUUAGGGGGUUUCCGCCCCCUUAGUGCUGCAGCUAACGCAUUAAGCACUCCGCCUGGGAGUACGGCCGCAAGGCUG
rnacentral:rRNA from 1 species